GAUGAACGCUGGCGGCGUGCCUAAUACAUGCAAGUCGAGCGAACAGACGAGGAGCUUGCUCCUCUGACGUUAGCGGCGGACGGGUGAGUAGCACGUGGAUAACCUACCUAUAAGACUGGGAUAACUUCGGGAAACCGGAGCUAAUACCGGAUAAUAUAUUGAACCGCAUGGUUCAAUAGUGAAAGACGGUUUUGCUGUCACUUAUAGAUGGAUCCGCGCCGCAUUAGCUAGUUGGUAAGGUAACGGCUUACCAAGGCGACGAUGCGUAGCCGACCUGAGAGGGUGAUCGGCCACACUGGAACUGAGACACGGUCCAGACUCCUACGGGAGGCAGCAGUAGGGAAUCUUCCGCAAUGGGCGAAAGCCUGACGGAGCAUCGCCGCGUGAGUGAUGAAGGUCUUCGGAUCGUAAAACUCUGUUAUUAGGGAAGAACAAAUGUGUAAGUAACUAUGCACGUCUUGACGGUACCUAAUCAGAAAGCCACGGCUAACUACGUG
rnacentral:rRNA from 1 species